rnacentral:rRNA from 1 species
CAAUAGCGUAUAUUAAAGUUGUUGCAGUUAAAAAGCUCGUAGUUGGAUUUGUGGCGUACGGUGUGUUCCGGGCACUUGUUGUCUGAGUAACCUGCUGUUGCCAUCCUUGGGUGGAACCUGUGUGGCAUUAGGUUGUCGUGCAGGGGAUGCCCAUCAUUUACUGUGAAAAAAUUAGAGUGUUCAAAGCAGGCUUAUGCCGUUGAAUAUAUUAGCAUGGAAUAAUGAGAUAGGACUUUUUUGCUAUUUUGUUGGUUUGCGCAAAGAGGUAAUGAUUAAUAGGGACAGUCGGGGGUAUUCGUAUUCCAUUGUCAGAGGUGAAAUUCUUGGAUUUUUGGAAGACGAACUACUGCGAAAGCAUUUACCAAGGAUGUUUUCAUUAA